rnacentral:rRNA from 1 species
AUUGAACGCUGGCGGCAGGCCUAACACAUGCAAGUCGAGCGAGCGGCGGACGGGUGAGUAAUGUAUGGGGAUCUGCCUGAUAGAGGGGGAUAACUACUGGAAACGGUGGCUAAUACCGCAUACCAUCAGAUGUACCCAUAUGGGAUUAGCUUGUAGGUGGGGGAAAGGCUCACCUAGGCGACGAUCCCUAGCUGGUCUGAGAGGAUGACCAGCCACACUGGGACUGAGACACGGCCCAGACUCCUACGGGAGGCAGCAGUGGGGAAUAUUGCACAAUGGGCGCAAGCCUGAUGCAGCCAUGCCGCGUGUAUGAAGAAGGCCUUAGGGUUGUAAAGUACUUUAAGCGGGGAGGCGUUACCCGCAGAAGAAGCACCGGCUAACUCCGUGCCAGCAGCCGCGGUAAUAC